CCCCCCCCCUCACACACCCCGACCCUUGGCUGAAUUUGGGUGGUGUCUUUAUUGCUAACCAUUGCAAAGAACACCUGCAUUUAGAGGAUUCAGUCUAGAAGGAAUCUUGAUUGUCCUGCUUUGGUUUAAAUGUAAACAAAUAAUAUUUUCUAUGUAAGCAAUCUGACCCCCAUAUUAUAACUCAUUGAAUAACCAUAUUGCCUAUUAAUUUAUGAAAUGCAGGCACUUCUUUGACAUAUUUGGGUAGUUUUCCUAAAUUCCAGGUACAGACUUGAUAUACUUGAUGGCAAACGUCCUUCUAAGGUGAUGGAAAGCACAAUUAAAAACAAUUGGACAAUGUUAAUAGUUCUCAAGUGGUCGAUGAGAUUAUUUUAUUUUAAAUAAUGGACGUUAACUUUAAUUAGAUCAGACCAUCAAAAAUUGAAGUUGGUGGGAUCAGUUUACAAUGAAGCUACUUGGCAUAAUAUUAUUAACAAUUCAAAAUUGUGCUUCAAUGGAACCUCAUUACACCUGAUGGUUCCAUUCACAAUGUAAAUUCCUUUAAUUUUUAGGGAUUGUGAAGAUUUGAGUCCUUAAAAUAUCGAAAGGAUUUGAUAUGGUAGAUACAGGAAAAUUACUUUCACUAGAGGGAGAUCAUUGGCAAUCGAGGGUUUGUAAUCAUAAACUCAGUCACUUACGGAUCAAAUCAAGAAAUAUUCCAAAACACAUUAAAUAUCUCUGCCACAAACACUGUUCCUUAGAAAUAUAUCUCUAUAUAUCACACUAUAGAGGAAUGACAGCACUUUACACACUGUGUCAUAAGUUCAGUUUUGCUGAAGGAGAGAGGGGAAAAAUAGCUAAUAAAAUUUAUUGCUAGGGGUAUAUCAUUUACAUGGGCAGUUACUCAAACACCACUUUAAAGGAGGAAUUGGAUGGCGUUCAGCACUAAAGUUUGUAUCUAUAAAUUUGGAUAAAUUUUCUGGAAUGACAGUAUAUUUAGAAAUAAAAUUGAAAUAGGGAAGAUUUCCAUUCGGGAGAGUUAUUCAGUGGAUUCAAUAUCAGGAGCUGGUGAGUGCAUUGUGAAUGAGACUAGUCUUAUUCCAAUGUAUCUCAAACUGCUUUCCCAUCGCCACUGUUCAGCCCAUUUACUUUAUUAGUCAGGAAUGAAUUCCCAAGGCAAUGACACAAUUCAAAACUGAUAUUAGUAGGCUUCGAAUUGGAAAUCUGGUGAUACAAGACCAAAGCAAGGCAAGUUGAUUUAUGGUGCAAAUGAGUGCAGUUAUGACGCAAUCAUGAUGUGUAGAGUUGGGUUGCGUUCACAAAUGAGCCCCAUUUUUGCUGCUUAUGCAUUGAAGACCACUACCUUGGCAAACAAUGAUAAAAAAUACAUAGCCAUGAUUGAAUGGAAUAGUGUCCAGCAGAGAACAAAUUAUGUGCGGUAAUUGGAUGGACCUAAUAGCCACAUUAAAUUAUUUCUCAGGUUGCUUUCCAAGUAGUGCAAUGAUUCAUGUGGAUUGAAUAUUGGGACUGUAUUGAUUUGGUGCCCAAAUCUUUAUGUUUGAGUUGAUUUGUUUUUUUGAUUUUGAUAAUCCUCAUUCUAAAACAUUGCAAAUUGAAAACAAUAGGGUUCUCCAAUAAACGACUAUCAUCAACAGUAGGAUAUUCUGAAACUAUAUCAACAACUAGAUGGUAGAUUACCAAGCAGUGGGUUGAGCAGAGUGACUUCCACUGACAAUGCAAAAUAAGGUUUAGACUAUCUAAACCCAAAAAUAAUUAUUUUUUUUGAGAGGGGGGAUAAAUAAGUAUGUUGACCUAUCUUGGAAAAUCCAUUUUGAUUCUUUCCAGUUCUGAGACUGGUAAGGAAAUAAGACAACUGUAUUUCCAUACUGAAUUUACAGGAAUUAAACAUGCUGGCCACAUUUUUUUUAGUAGAUCUAAUUUCCUCCUAGUGAAAUCUUAGUGAAAAUUAAUGAAGUUUGAACAUUAUUUUCAUGAAAAAAUACCAUGUAUAAAAUAUAGCUGAGUAAAUUAUAAAAUAAGAGGCUCCAAUCUUGACAAUCUUUUGCUUGUUUGGUGCACAUUAUUAGAAUGUAUAACCAUUUGUGUUUUUAGGAAUGUUAGCUUUUGAUUGCAUGCUGCUAGUUUAAUUUCCUUUAAAAGAAAUGAUAUUUAGAUUGUACAAGAAUUCAAUGAAAAACACCAAGGAUUUAUUGAGGAGACCAUUAUCAAUAUUAACAAACUGGCCAUUGGCAAGACUGAUAAGACAAAAUUAAAGUGUCUUUCGACACACGACAUGCACCAUACAGAUCUGUGUGUACUUUCUGAGUGAACUAAUGUUGUGUUAUCACUUAAUGAUAAAACUAAAAAAGUCCAAUAGCAAUAUGUUGUAAAUUACAUGUUGAAUAUGAAUAGAUCAUGUAGUCCAUAAGAUGAUGUUGUUCUUUGUUUAAGAAAGGCUAUAAAGUUGCACUGCAGGAAAUACAACAAGAAAUAGGAGCAGAAACAGGCCAUUCAGCCCUUUGUUUCUAUGAGCAGGGAAAAGUAACUUUCGAUAAUACCUCUGUGGAAAUCUGCCUCAAGGGAGAAUGAUUCAUUGGAAUGGAGCCCUCAUGGUUGUGUGUGAUCUGUUACAAAUGCAGUCAGUGGUUUAAAUUGUAUAUAGAUAGGAAAGGUUUAGAGGGAGAUGGGCCAAAUGUAGGCAGGUGGGACCAAUGCAGAUGGAGUAAUAGAGUUGCUGCCUUACAGCAACUGAGGCCGGGUUCGAUCCUGACUAUGGGUGCUGGCUGUACAGAGUAUGUACGCUCUCCCCCUGAUAGCCUGGGUUUUCUCCGUGCUUCAGUUCCUCCCACACUCCAAAACAUACAGGUUGGUAGCUUCAUUGACCUCAGUAAAAAUUGGAAAUUGUCCCUAGUGUAUAAGAUAGUGCUAUUGUAUGGGGUGAUCACUGGUCGGCGCAGACUCGGUUGGCCGAAAGACAUGUUUCCACGCUGUAUCUCCAAUGUCUAAAUCAAUCUUCAAUUGUGUAAAUAAUACUUUAUGAUUAAAUUAUGAGUAGGGGAGAGAGAGGAGAGGAUAACUUAUUCUGGGUGAAAAAGAUAUUCUUCGAUUUAUAAUAUCACAUCACUGAGAAACUUAUUGUAGUUCCUUAGAAAUGGAGUAUUACUUUAAAUAUAGUGUAUCUGUGAUCCAGCAAUGGGUGACUAUGAUACUUAGCGACUUAAUAUGUAGUGCACUUGUGUUGUAAAUAUAUUGUGUUAUGAAACCCAAUGGAUGGGAUCAGCCUUAAAGAUGAUUCAUGCACCUGAGAAGGUUGUUUCAGAUUUCUGCAGCAAUUAAAACAGUUGAAGAUGUACGGGUGGCACAGUGGUAGAGUUUCUCCCUUAAGGGCCUGUCCCACCAGCAUGCGAUAGCAUGCGUCUAGCACGACCAAACGUGGUUGCUUGAGGUGUACAGCCUCGCAGGGCCGGUCCCACUUCGAUCAGCGGAGGAGUAUGGAGUUGUGCAGGGCUGGUCCCAGCAUCGUGUGAGGCUCCAAAAAUCUUGCACUGUCCGAAAAUCCCGCGCGACAAUGGCCUGUCAGCCCGCAGCUGCAUUGAGGCCGUACGCAGUGCCUCGACAGGCGUACGCAGCGUCUCAAAGUCAUACGCAGCGUCUUGAUACCGUACACAGCAUCUUCACUUACCUCCCCGACUCCAAAGACAUACAGGUUUGUAGGUUAAUUGGCUUAGUAUAAAUAUUACAAAUGAUCCCUAAUGUGUGUAGGAUAGCGCUAAUGUUAAUUCACCUCUGUAAAUUGCCCCUUGUGUGUACUAGUGUGAACAGGUGACUUGAUGGUCGGUUUGGACUCUGUGGGCUGAAGUGCCUAUUCCCAUUCUGCAUCCCCAAACUAAACUAAAUUAAACUAGUUUGGUCUGGAGAGUUUUUCUAAUGAUACAGCAUGGAAACAGGCCCUUCAGGCCACCAAGUUCUUACCAACCAUCAAUCACCUGUUCAUGCUAGUUCUAUGUCACCCCACUUCCUCAUCCAAUCCCAUCAUAUUAGGGACAAUUUUACAGAGGAUAUAUGACUUACAAACCCACAUGUCUUUGACAUGUGGGAGGAAACCAAAGUGGUCUCAAAGGGAACAUAGGAACUCCACACAGGCAACACUCGGGGUCAAAGUCGAACCUGGGUCUCUGGCACUGUGAAGCAGAAACUCUACCAUUGUGGCAUUAUUCUUAUAACUGAUCAUAAUGAAACAUUGAUAAUGUAUGUCCAAUGUAUUCCAAUGGUUGAUCUACUCACUAUAUAAGAAUGAAAACCAGAAGUAAUUCCACCUCUUUGUGUUAUCUUGCAUACUCUAUCCAGCCAACAAAUGAUAAAUACUUUAAUACAUCGUGUUUAGAUGAUGAUUCUCUGAAGAUGAUAGACUCCAAUAAAGAAUUACUAUUUAUUUUUAGAAAUGCAUUCACCUAAUGAUAAAUAAGUCUCCGUAUAGACAGAAAUAGGUUUCAAUUGCUGCAAGGGAACUAAAUUAUUCAUUUGUGCUUUCAUAAUGCCCUGAAGUCAAUCAUAUGGAAAGUUUAAUUUUCUUUAUUGCUGAUAUGCAUGAAAGCAAAUCUUUCUCCAGAUGUCGAUAUAGGAUAAUUUUAAAUGAGAUUUGAUACUUGAGCAUCUUUGUGAAACAAAUAUGUCAGUUCAGAGCCAUUAUGUUGAUCAGUACCAAUAAUAUGCCUUUUUAGAGUACACAGCAAGUUAGAUUUUAAGAAUUGGCAUAGAACGAGCGUUGCUGCCUUACAGCACCAGAGACUUGGGUGUGAUCCUGAAUACGGGUGCUGUCUGCAUGGAGUUUGUUCGUUUUCCCUGUGACUGCGUGGGUUUUCUCUGUGUGCUCCGGUUUCCUGGCACAUUCCAAAGAUGGUCGGCAAUUGCCUUCUGUUAAUUUUAAAUUAUCCAUAGUGUAAGUAGGAUAGUGCUACUAUAUGGGAUGAUCACUGGUCAGCACAGAAAUGGUGAACCGAAGGGCAUGUUUCCAUGCUGUAUGUCUAAAGUCUAAACUAAAGUGUUGUUAGAGGAUGGAUUUAUACAGAACCUGUCAAGCAAGCCUGAGUCAGGAGGUGGGCCUGAAUUCAGAUUGUCGACAGAAUAGUCACAGCAGUGAUUGUCCCACAUGAGAGUUCAAUCGAGCAAAAACAUUUUUUUCCCCAAUUUUAAACAAGAACAUAGGAAAGCGGAACUGGAGAUCUCCGCCUUUAUUUUCAAAAGCAAAUUUCUGGAAACUUGACAUUAACACAGGAACUGGUGGCUGCCCUCAGCAGGUCAGGUGCAGUAUGGAGAGAGGGACAGAGUUUUCUGUCUCCACAGUGCUCAGUAGUUUUCUGAAUUCUUCUUUAUACUUUCCAUUCUUUGACUGGGUCAGAAUGGCAGAUUUCCAUUCCAAAGCACACAAGAUGCUAAAGAAAACUAAGCUGGUAAGGCAGCACCUCUGGAGAACAUAGAUAUGUGAUAGGUGAUCCUGCCAUGCUUGGUACUGCCUCUCAUAUCUCCCAGCUUUCUUCCCCCUCACAGUUACUCCAGCACUUUGUGUCCUUUUGUGUAAACCAGCAUCUUGCAGUUCCUUAUUUCUCCAAUCUAAAGCACAUUCCUGAAAUGAACAGAAUUUUACCCAAAUCGGGUAAUUGAGGUGUAAGAUUGGCCGUGAUCUUUUGAGCAGCGAAGCGAAUUCAAGAGGCUAACCAACCUACCUCUGCUCCUUUUUCUCGUGUUCCCAAAUUGAAAACAUGUCCAUUGUUGCUGUCUAAACAACAAGCACACACAAACUAGUCUUUAUAAUGAGUACAAAGUCCAACCCUGACACAUAUUGUUGAACAUAUAAAUCCUAAAUCCUGCCUACACUUUAUUAUCUUCGUUACCCACACCAUCACCAAUCUCCCAAAUCUCUCCUCAGGUUGUAGUCAUGACAUUAGGUUAGUAAGUUAAAAAUAAAUAAUAUUAACACAUUUUAUGAGUCUUUGCGUUUUGUGCUAAGAGCUUGCUGCUGUGCUUUGUAUUUAAUUAUGUGAAUUGCUGUGUUAAUGGUCUAUGCCCAUUUUGUUUUCCUAUAUGUGUUUGUUUUAAAGGAGAUGGCAUUGCUGGGAAAACAUUAAUCAUUGAAUGAUUUAUCCUGCUAGCAUAGUAAAUCCUUACUAUGAGGAAUGGGAUGUGAAUAGCAAGCAGUAAGAUCAAGGUCAAUGUCAUUUGCAGGACUACAGGGAAAGAGCAGGGGAAUGGAUCUGAUGGGAAUGCUCUAUGAGCAGCUGCCAGAAACAUCUGUGGGCCGAAUGGCCUACGGAACUGUAAUAAUUCAGUUGCGAACUUUAAUUUCUAAACGUUGUUUUCAAACUAGAUAUGUUUAGAUUCGGUAUUUGGAACAGAACACAUAAUGUGAUCUCAUGCUUUAUAACCAAUGUAAACACUCACAAGGAAAGGUAUCAGGGGUUAUGGGGGGGAAGGCAGGAGAAUGAGGUUAGGAGGGAGAAAUAGAUCAACCAUGAUUGAAUGGCUAAUUCUGCUCCUAUCACUUAUGACCUUAUGAAAGGGUCAUAUUUUUUGAACCACAUUCAGUUUCUCAUGGGAACAAUGUAUCAUUGCUUAAGAUAAGGGGAAAAUGUCACAUUCUUACAUUACUAAAGCUUCCAAAAUGCAUUUGCAGGACAUCAAUUGUACCUAGGUGAUUUUUAAACUGAAGAUAGACAAAGUGCUGGAGUAAUUCAACGGAUCAGGCAGCAUCUCUGGAGAAAAAUAAUAGGUGACGUCUCUAGUCGGGACCCUUCUUCGGACUUCUGAAGAAGGGUCCCAACCUGAACCAUCACCUAUCUUUUAUCUCCAGAGAUGCUGCCUGACCCAUUGAGUUACUCCUGCACUUUGUAUCUAUGUUCGGUAUAAACCUGCAUCUGCAGUUCUUUGUUUAUAGAUUUCCAAAACCAGUUCUGUAAAAAACAAACACUUAUUCCAGUUACAACAGUGGCAUAAAGGAAAGUGCAGAGGAAACAACUGUUCUCACUUGUUCACCUGUGACACAAGUGUGAAUUUAUUCAACUUAAAUACAAAUCUUUCAAGGGCAUUCCUUUUAAAAGCAAUACGGUGUCCUGGCUAACAUUUAUUCCUAAUCUACAAUGAAUGAUUAUCUGGCCAUUACCUGUCGCUGUAUGUAGGACAUGUUAUGCGCAAAUAGGCUGCAAAAAUUCCCACAUUAAAUUAGUGACUGCAUUUCAGAAUGCUUAUUGGUUAUAAACCAUUUUGAUCAUUUGGAAAGCAGUUCAGAGAAGCCAAUAGCUUUCUUUGAAAAGCACUCUGUUUACAAAAUGAAACAGGUUUGUCUCUGUUCUGCCCUCUAUCUACGAUUCAGGAGAUUGCAGUGGAAUUAUCUUUAAGAGGUCACCGUCUAAAAAACUGCAUUGUCAGGUGAUCUCUUCUGAGAAAAAUGAACUGGCCUCUUUAUUGGUUCACCCUGUGUAAUCUUUCACAAAAGCCGUUAACGUUAGUGCAUGCAUCAUAUUUCUGGUGAAAAACACUUUAUUGAAUGAAAUAAACCGUUAAAGAUUUACCUUUCAGGUUGAUUAUUUUGAUCAAAUUGAAUCAGUCUGAUGACUAAUGAUUGAUGUUGAUGUUCCAUGAUUGAAAUGACUGAUUUCAGUUUUAUUUAUUCCAUGCUCCACUUAUUUGUUUGUCAUAUUUUGUGAAAUUUUAAAUAAAUUUACAUUUCAUUGAAUACUU